rnacentral:rRNA from 1 species
GACGAACGCUGGCGGCGUGCUUAACACAUGCAAGUCGAACGGUAAGGCCCUUCGGGGUACACGAGUGGCGAACGGGUGAGUAACACGUGGGUGAUCUGCCCUGCACUUCGGGAUAAGCCUGGGAAACUGGGUCUAAUACCGGAUAGGACUCCGGACUGCAUGGUCUGGGGUGGAAAGCUUUUGCGGUGUGGGAUGGGCCCGCGGCCUAUCAGCUUGUUGGUGGGGUGAUGGCCUACCAAGGCGACGACGGGUAGCCGGCCUGAGAGGGUGACCGGCCACACUGGGACUGGGAUACGGCCCAGACUCCUACGGGAGGCGGCAGUGGGGAAUAUUGCACAAUGGGCGCAAGCCUGAUGCAGCGACGCCGCGUGAGGGAUGACGGCCUUCGGGUUGUAACCUCUUUCAGCAUCGACGAAGCGAAAGUGACGGUAGGUGCAGAAGAAGGACCGGCCAACUACGUGCCAGCCGCCGCUGUAA